rnacentral:lncRNA from 1 species
UCGGGGCUGUAUACCCUACCAAAAAAAACCUCAAUUAUCCUCCUGUAACUCAAUACUAACAUUAUAAAUUAAUAAUUAAGAAUAUACAUACAGACUUACUAGUUACAACAACAAUAAAAUUUAGAGAGGAUAUUCAAAUCUCAUCCCCUGGAGCAAAAUCCUACUCUGUUGAUCUCACAAAGGGCAGUAACAUCAGUUGUAGGGAACAACAAAUGUAAAAGAGGGACUGAAGAGGAUGUGUUAAUUGCCUUGAUUUUGUCCAAAGCUCUUUUAACUUGGAAUGGUGAGGGCACAUUGUACCAUUGUACAUACCAAGAAAGAAGAGUUGAGGCCCUUCUUCCAUAAUCUUCAGUUGGCCAUCUUCCAUAUUUCAUGUACUCAGAAAAAUCCUUCUGAAAUUCCAGAGAUGAACUAAGAAUCUCCUCCACACGCUUCUGGACUGAACCAAGAAAAGUUGAUUGUACGAUGCCCUCCUUUGAACUUGUUGAUCUUUUACUUAGCAAACUAUUAUUGUAGGCCAGCGCUAUCUGUAUGCGAAGAAUUGAAUACAAUAAUCCAUUAAAGAUGGAUAUCAGGCACAGUAAUUACAGGUAAUAUGCAGCUUAGCAUGAAAGGCAUAGUGAGUAAUUAUUGCUCACCAUCAGUGCUAAAGCAUAUGUGCAAUCAGGAAAUCAGUACAAGGUCAAGAUCAACAAGCAUUCAUUUUUAAGGAUGUUUUCAAAUAGAUUUGUGAUCUAACAGUCUGGUGUUUGUUCUUUGAAGGAGUAACUAUCACCAGAUAAUUAGGCAAUAUAUUGAUUGACCGAGGUUUGCUAAGGGUACGAUCUAUAUAUGCCACAGUAAAAUCUUCUCUGAUUGACUUGUGUCAGAUAAGUUCUACAGUAUUUCACAAGGAUGAAAUGAUAAACUUGAAGAAUGUAUUAGGUCUUUACAGUGUUGGAAACAUUAAUGGUCAUGAACAAGGAUAGGAUCUCAACUUGCCACAAUAGAUCCGUCUUUUGUACCUUUCUAUGUUAGAUAAGUUAUAUUUCAUAAAGAGGAAAUAAUAAAGUUAAAGAUGGUAUUAGGGAUUUAUUUUUUAUUUUAUUUUUGGAUGACCAUGGUGUCCGGGCCAGCAUCCGCGCACCUCGACUAAUUCUGUUGAAUACUUGUCACCUCCCACCAACAACAGGUACCAAGUAACUCUAUCCACCAAGGCUAAGACAGAUGGGAAGAAUCACCUAGUGUUUUUGUCUACGCUGUGAUUCGAGCCUGAGACUUCAUGGCUCGCAACCACUUCAUUGACCACUAGGCCACACCCUUGGGUGCAAUGGUAUCACGGCUUUAUGAUGUUAAAAAUGUUAAUCAUGCAUAAAUGGUUAUCAAGUUUUGGAACCAAAUCUAAGCCCACAUACUCUACAACUCCCAAAUAUAUGAACUUCACGCAACACAUAACUUGUCCUCCUAAUCUAUACAAUAGCAUACAAUUCCACACGUAACACCUGCACAGAAAUCUCAACGAUCUACCAUUAUAAUACUUUUAUGUGCUUAGCAAAUAGAAAAAGAAUUGGCUCAUACAACAAGUUGAAUGUAAAUAAAGUUAAAGAAAUCUCUCUGAUACUGAUCAUAUUAAAUAUUCAAUAAACCAUAGUUAGCUCCCCUCCAGUUCAACAAUAUCAGAUACAUUAACCUCUACUUUAAAAAUUACAGUGACCUCCCUAGUUGAUUUAUGUUGUGGAGAGUGGUGACUUCUCAAUUCUCAUCACUUGUUUCAAAGAGCAUUUGGAUGGUCUACAACAGACGUGUAUACAAAGAAAGCAUGCACCAAUGCACUACACAGAUAACAAAUUUCGAGUCUAAAACAAAACCACAAUCAAGUAAGGAGAAGAAACCCACACACUAAGCCCACACACUUAAUUUUGAAUGAUCUAAACUCGAAAAAAUAUGAAGAUAGCAAGCCCACACACUAAGCAGGUAGUUCAAAAGGAACUUUGAAUCUGAAACAAAAUCACUUUUUAAAAAUUCAUAGAUUAUGCCAACAAGUCAGGUACAAAGCAAAAAGAUACCUUCAGACUUGAGAUGAAGAGUGUAUCCUGUAAAUUGCUGGAACUACUAGUAACCCGAUCAACCAUGGAACCAAUAGUUGUGUAUAAUGACAGGUAAACCUGCAGAUUUUCCAAAUGUUAAAUGACUACCUCCAAAUACUAAGACAAGCUACUUUUUUGAUGAAGAAUACUAACACAAGCUACUUAACAAGGAGAAGAAGUAACACAACCUUCAUAGGAAGCAACUAUAAAGACCCGUAAGUUUUAAAUGUCAAUUACGACUAAUCACGACCCUAACAGCUUGAUUAAGGUAUCCCCAAGGUGUAAACUGUAACGACCCUCAUGGCUGUUUUGUGUUUUCAGUUGGUUUCCCCUAUUUUGACCAUUCCUGUAAGCUGGCUUCUCGAUGUUAUUCGUGACUUGCAGGAAUGGGUGACACGAUUCCUGAGGUGAUCGGAUGAGUUUCGGAGAAGAUUUUUAGUUUGAAAGUUUGGUUUUUGGAAAGUUAAACCAAAAUCUAUGUAUCAGGUUGACUAGGUCAAAUUCGAAUUUUGACAGUUCUGUUGGAUCUGAAAGGUGCUUUUGACUUCGUAGAUUGGAUUACGCGGUUUUCGAGGCAUUCAGGAACAUUUUAGAACCUUGGCUUGAAAUUGAGCUUUUCAUAUACCUAGAAUUGACCAUAAUCAACAUCUGAUCAAGACGGGGUGAUGUCAUUGCUUGAAAUUUGGUCUUAGCUUUUGGUUUGAUUAAAUAAAUGAUAGGUAUUUGUCUCGAAUUUCUCCAUCAAUUUUGGUCGAAGUACCCAAAAUUUAUUGACCAAAUAAGGUACGGAUCCCACACCAACGUCGUGUUGACACGGGUGAAGCACCGAAAGUGAAGAGUCUGAACAACUUAGCACAAGCCAGGCAUCUCCCUACAUCUUAGCUUUUGGUCAGCCCCAAUACUCUAGUUGUGGCCAGUGUUUCAUGAGAUGAGGCCGAUGAGCUUUAUGUUAUAGUUCCAAAUUUAUUAAGCUUUACAUGUCGUGAUGCAUGCAUUGCUAUGAAAAGGGUAAUAUGUCCAGAUGGUUUUCUCCAUGGAAAGUUUAAGGCAGCAUCAGGUGUCAAUCACCCACGCAGCUUGAAUUGGGGUGUAACAACUACUUCAAUAUUCAGUAUAUAACAUUCUUUCUGAAAAGGAUAGAACAAAUGUUCAAAGUAAGUUCUUCCAUGGUAACUACACAACUGCAUGGCUCAAAGACGUAGCAUUUACUGUCCAUCAUUUAAGAAUCUUUUUUAUGAAUUAUCAAGGUAAAAAACAUUUGCAUGAUGAAUCAUCACCUGCAAUAGGGCUGGCCUGUCCUUGCUUACACACUCGAAUAACACUUGUAAGCAAAAUUCUUGGAAGUCAAUGUCAGAUCUGCAAACGUGCAAUACAGGCUUUACUAUCAACUCAUCAUUACAAUCAGAAGACAAGGAUUUCAGCAGGACAAUAAAACACAUCUUGGAGGCUAGUCUUUCAUUAUUUGUCAAGCAAGUUUGAAAGGACUCCACAUAAUAUUUCUACAUUCACAUCAUCAAAAACUAAUCUUCCACACAAUCUUGCUAUAUCAUUCAGUUAGUAACUUGCAAAUGAAUUAGUAAGUACAUGUAAAUAGUCCCUGCUUUGCAAAUGAAUUAGUAAGUAGAUGUUAACGCUCGGGGCGUAUGUUUUUGCACUAGGGACUUGUGUUUUCCCCCCGGAGCUUACGCCCCAAAUUCUAGUGCAUACACCCUAUGGAUCUACACCUUUAAUUUCCGCCCAGGAGCAUUUUUGGUACGCCCCACCCCGAGACUAGCCCCAUAAACGUCUUUGAAAACACUGGUUGGUUUUGGUUCUAAUAUAUGAAAAAUCAACUUAAUUGGUUUGGUUUUCUUUUAGGAGAAAAUCGACUCAAACCGACCCAUGAACACCCUUAGUUAGAAGAUUAAGAAGCAUUUUUUACAGUAUUCAUGAUGUAAAGAAGGACCCAUAGUUCUGUCCUACGUCCAGCCUCCAAAAGUUAGCCUUUUCGCUCUUAUCCUGCUCUAUAACAGUUAAAAAAUACAAGCCAGCAAAGCUAGUUUAGACUACAUAUCCAGCUGCAACACUUGAACAGCCAGGCUGGAUCAGGAUUAAUAACUGUUCAUGGGAAUGAGACAGAAGAACAAUUUCUUCAAUCACAGGUUUCUAGGGUGAUUUAUUUUGUAACCAAGUCACCUUGGAAAAAUUCAUUUCCCCCCUACUUGAAUUUUAUGUAGCUUUCUUGGUUUAUUAAACAUUACAUUCUGUUAUUAGAUUCAGAUCGAUUUUUAAUUCAUGCUUAAUGAUAUUUAUUCAUUUUUUUUGUGUGAUCCAUCUGUAUGCCGAGGUAACACAAAAGUGUCAGAAUUAGGAGCUAAGAAAAAGGAAAUAAAGAACACAACGAGUACACACUGAGUCAGGAAAAUAACCGCUAGAAUAUUGACUUGAGAAUCAGCAAUGAAUAUAUGGGCACUUGCCUGCUAUUCCAGUUAGGGUCACAGCAGAGCUGGGCAAACGAAAUUAAGCUUGGGUUCGACGAGAAAGUACUGAUCAACUGAUCUACCAUGUCACCAUCUUGACAAUCUCUACUUGCUGCUGAAGCUCUCAGACGUGUCAAGCCAAACACCUACAUAAAAGCAAACAUAAUUUGAUGUAACAAUUAGACAGGACAAAGAAGAGUUGAAUUUUUGUAAGUGAGAACUAACCUUGUGCAUUGCUCGUGACAGCAGUGACUGACACCCUGCAGGAUCAUCCACAUAGGAACAUGCUCCAACCUUUCUCUUGACAUAGAGGAUACCAGAACUAAGCGCAUCACCCUUGUCCCCUGAGCUCCAUGGUUUUUCUGUAAAAGAGUUGCAGAUAAUAUUGAACAAAAUAAGUUUUUAGCCUCGAUGUCCAACUAGAUGAAGUGAAAACCAAUGUCAACUUUACCCUCAGGAAUGUGAUUGAUGACUUGAGACCAGUAUCGAGGGCCGCAGACACGAACAGCCUUCAACUAUAAUGCCAAAAGGGAAAAAAUUGGCUUGACCUAAUGUUUCAUGUGUUCAAUAAUCUUAAAAUUACUGCAUAAUUUUCUUGUACAGAAGACCAGAACUUACAACAGCACGUUCUGGAAGAAUGCACGGGGUAACCUCAUAAAAACUCGUUUCUGCAUAGUGUUCUGUCUCUCGAACAGUAACUUCUAAUGGACAAUAGACAGGUAAACCACUGUCCACAUCAACUGUCUGAACCCAGCGAGCUUCUGUUGCAAGAACAUACAAAUGCCGAAAAGCCUGUAUGAUGCAAAUUUAAAUUACAAAAGUAUUUGCUGAUAAAUCACCAGAAAUGGAAUGGAAGGAAGCAAAUACAAAUUAUAAUGAUUAUAUGAGAUGUUUACAUAGAAUAUUAACCAAAAUCGAAGACAUCUUAAGAGAUCAAAGAAAGAUUAAUAGAGUUGCAAAGAGGUAUUCCACAAAAGGGGAAAAGGAAAUAGUCAAUAAUCGGACAAUUUGAAACAGGGAAACCAAUAUGUUGUGUUAGAAUAUGAAUAGGUUUAUACAAUCCUAUUAGAAUAGGAAUAGGUUUAUACAAUCCCAUUAGAAUAGGAAUAGGAAUAGAAAUAGAAAUAGGAAUACUAAAUAGUAUCCUACUUGGUAAAGGAUUGUAUUCUAGGGUCUAUAAAUAGGGUCUCAAUGUAAUAAUGUAGACACAACAACAAUUCAAUAAUAUUCUUUUCCUAUAUUUCUCACAUGUUGAAUAAUUUCAAUCUCUGUAUAACUAGUAUCAAUCAAAUCCAGAAAGGUGAGUUUCGAGAUAAGUGAACUACAAAUCAGCGCCGAUCCACUCAAUACUAUGUUCAGGUAUUGCCAGUAUCUAGUUGGUCCAUGGGAUUUUUCGUAUCUGAACUCAACACCUCUCAAAAGGCUUUAGUCACAUCACACAUGUCUUAGAGGGUAGGUACAUAUACCCUCUCCUUUGCAUCACAUGAUAGCUGGAUAUGUCAAACAAGAAAGAACUCUUUCCACAGAAGGUGCAUUCAUAUGCACUCUUCAGAACAAUGUUCACAUAGCCUAGUAACUCAUUUGUCCCCUUGAAUAAGUCCUUUUUAUUUAAGGUGAUAUUCUCAGGUGCUUGUCAAAAAGAGGAAUUAUCAGUUUGCCUUUCUUUUUCCCCUCAUUUAAAUAGCUCUGGUGGGGUCAAUGAUUGUCUCUCUCAUUUAAACGGUUCAUCCUCUAUAAAAUUUACAACACUCCUAAUAGGUACUCCUACAGUUGGCAGAUCUACAGAAAUCUCAUAAGAAAAGUUGUCUAGCAAGUGUCAACUACUGGACUACUUCCACUGUUAAGUGACGCCCAGUAUUCCUAGUAUCUACUCAGUAACCAUAAUCCCCCUAAAAGUCCAUACAGAAAAAAAGUAAAAGGAGAGUGACUUUGAAAUCCUUGAGAAUUCAUCUUCUUCCCAUAAUUUCCAUUCAAUCGUUCAAAACCCAGACGCAGAGCAACUAAGAAGGUCCUAAAUGUUUAAAAACCAAGGGCACAAGGUCAUCACAAUUCGAGAUCGGAGAACUAUUGUUGCCCAUCCGCUCUCUUUGCUUUAUGAGAAUGAAAUUAAAGAAAAUUAAAACAUAAACUCUACAGUAUUCUUUUGGAUCAACAUCAGGUCUUUCACUUUCUUUCAUUAUACUUGAUUCAUGUUUGUGGCAAGGAAUAAAUAUUAAUUUUACUCUAAUUCUUCUUCUCGAAAUUUGAACUGAUCUUUUCAGAACUUUCAGGCGUGCGGCUCUCCAGUGAGGUCCGAGGCAUGCCUAGGCAUAUGCCAGACAUGUUAGAGCAUCCGUCCUAUGGAACUGCGCCUCCCACAUGCACGCAAGGGAGAUUUUCCAUCACCUUGCCUCAGAACGCGCUCCGAAACGUACCUCCCCAACGCCUUUAAAAACACUGCUACAAACUGAGGUCAUAUUUUCCUCUAUUAAAGUAUUUCACUUCUGCAUUCAUUUACCUGAAGGUGGCACCGAUUGUCAUUAGGUCCAGUCGGCAAUCGCGGAUAUAGUGUUAUUAGUAAAGCAGCAAUAGAACUUUUGCUAGUCGAGAAAGUCUGCUUUCCACCCCCAAUAAACAAGAAACCAAUGGCUAAGCUUACCUGGAACAGUUUUCAGAACACUGCAUGAGAAAGAUGGUCAUAGAAGAAACUAAAAGUUGAAUCCACAAUAUCUUCUGCAUCUUAAUGAAAACAAUUUGAACGAACAAGUGCAUACAGCAGAUUCACCAAUGUCCUAUCAUCAGAUGCUUGCAAAUCUAUAAUGAAAAUGUCCAAGCAAUUAUUUAUUCUUGUUGAAAGAAAAUGGUUAUGGUUAGAGCUGUCAAUACGGGUUGAUGGUCCUUAAAACAGCUAGCCCAACCAUCUCUAUGUGUGCUUCAGGCCGGGCGGGGUCAGCGGUUCACAUUUUAAAUGAUUUUUUAAAUUUAGAUUCAAAUCUAGAAAUGCUUAACAUGAAUAUUUAUCAGACAAAAUUACAUGAUGUUGCUAUCCAAGUCUCAAACUAAAAUUAAAUAUCCUAAUAAUACUUAUUAAGUAUGAAUUAUCAAAUAUUUUCAAUUGUUAGUAAUGUCCAUUACAUAUGAAAUUUUUGUAUUGGAUUGUUGGUUCAAUACAAUUUUAGUUGUAUAUGAUGUCUCUUAUUGUGAUAUAGGUCUCAGUAGAAGUUUGAUGAUUUAUCUUUCUCAAAAAGAAGUUUGAUGAUUUAUAAUGGCUUCAAGUAAACAUCUGAUUGUAGCUUCAGAUAUGAAAUAUAAUAUAAUUUUGUAUUUGCAUUUUACUACUUUGAUCAUUAGACUUUACAAUAUGAUUAUAUGGUGGGUUAUAUAAACUUUGAGUUUGACUCAUUUCUUGUGAUUGUUAGUACUCUACUUCAUUUUUAUUUAUCUAUUUUAAAUUAAAUAUUUUUUAUUUGGCCCAUGGGCGGGUCCAACCCAAACCUCGCUCAAGCCUCAUGGGCAGACGGACUUACUUGGGCUCGGCUAAAAAGCCUCAUUCUUACAUGGACUACAAAUUUGUAGCCAAUCCUAUCAAAUCACGGGCUGGUUUGGGCCAACUCAGCUGGCAAACCCAUACUGACAGCUCUAUUUAUGGUAUUUUUCCUUUUCUUUUCAAGGAAAAUUUGAUGAGUAAUCCACAUUAUUUUGUUGGUGGAUCACAAACAUUUCUCUGAUCUACAGUGGAACUUAGUUAGCAACCAGUGGAAUAAACAGGUGAUUCAAGAACUCGUUGUAAAAUGACAAUUCACUUACAGCCAUCUGAUUACCGAAGCUCAAGUGCCCAUCUGCUGAAUUUCGACCACGCAAAUAUUUUAACAACUUGAAUGUUUGUAGGUGUCCAGACCCUGCCAUGACCUGCACAAGUAGAAUUUCUGAAUGAAGCCUAACCAUAAAUUUAAACAAUUUGUACUUGUGCAGAUAUAUACUAACCACACAUAGAGAGAGAACAAUUAGGUGAAGACAUGUCUCCAGUGAGCCACGAUCAAUAUAUCUAGACAGUCCUUUUGGAAAUGCCACACUUGAGACAGAUACAGGUUUUAUCUGCAGGAUUAGAGGUAAAUUGUUACAGCAUUAUAAAUAUGAAUCGGCACAAUAAGGUGAAGAACAGACCUCAUUAAGGAAGUAUAGUGCAUAUUUGUAGAGCAGCUCUUGUAAAUUGCCAUCCCUACUACCAGCAUAUCUUAACCCUGCCAAAAUUAUAGCUUGCAAGUCAAGAAUAACAAGAAAUACAACAUCCAACAGAUCUGAUGUUCAAUAGCUCCAACCCCACCGUCCCAUGUAGUUCACUAAACGAACAAAGGGACAUUAUUUAGUUUCAUAGUACAAAGUAUUUCAGGUACGCAACACUUAACAUAUCUUCUUUUACUUUCAAUUUCCAUUAGCUGUCAAAGCUUCUAUAGUUGGUAUGUAUUGAAACACUAUUGUAUUGAAAAGGAGCUUUUGACCAUAUCCACCAACUUCUGAAAGAUCCAUGCUACUAUAGAAGUUAUAUUCUCCAACUUUCAAGAAUAUUCAUAUCUCUGCCUGCUUUAGUUCAUAGAGUAUAAGGGGUCGUUUGGUAGAGUGUAUUGGAGAAAAUAAUGCUUGCAUUAGCUUGAUGUAUUAUUAGUACCUUGUUUGGUACACUUUUCUAACCUAUGCAUAACUAAUGCUUGUAUUAGAAAUACACUCUAUUGUGUAUUGAAGAGUGUAUUACUAAUACCAUCUAUUUCUAUACAUUAGUAAUGCAAUGGGUUCUAAUGCAUGCAUUAACAUUAUUAAAGACACAAUUGCCCUCAAAAACUUUUUUACAUCCUUUCCAAUAUAUUUGCUGAGGGUAUUUUUGUAGACAAAUAUUUUUUCUAAAAAAACUAUGUAAUGCAUAAUAUUUUUAGUACACCAAACCAAACAUUGCAUAAAAAAAUCUUAUCAUAACUAAUGCAAGCAUAACUAAUACAAGCGUUACUAAUGCAAGCAUUACUAAUACACUAUAUUUUGCAUUAUUCUUAUACACUCUACCAAACGACUCCUAAGAGUUAAAUUGUUUAAACUCUAGUGCAGAUGUUAAGCUGGAGGUCCAUUUCUUGACACAAUUCAAAUUGGGACCGAGCUAUUUUCCACUCAUCACUUAGUAACAUUAUUUUUGAUAUCUCUAAAACCUGAUCUGCCCUCCCAAAUCAAACUCAAUGCAACCUUCCUUAGCAGUGAUUUAUAUGAACUGGUAGAAGACAGUAUUGAAUCCAUCGUUGGUACUGCAUUUGAAUUCUCAAAUUCUACUGAUUCCAUUGUUGGUAAUACAUUUAAAUUCACAAUUCAAAACCAUUUAAAGCAUAUUGUUAUGUAUAUAAGUUAGGGAAACUGUUGGUUAUCAAAAUUUCAUGUCUGGCAUAAAAUGGAAGAUAGUAUUACAUAGCAACUUAACUAGAAGCUAGAGUCAACAGACAAGAGGCGAUAGCUGUCUUUUAGAACUUAGGCUUACCAAGAGAAAUGCAGGCUCCAACCACUAUGUGAACAUACGCCUGAACAAAUGCAUCAGCAUUUAUCUCAUCUGUGUCACUCAUGGUAUCACCAAGGCUUUUAACACCAUUUUGAAUAACCUCCGGAAUUUGAGAUUGAAUCCAUUCUUCAGAUGCAUGAACUCUAGAAGAAAUUAAACCAUAGUUAGACCUGAGAAGCAACUUAUAAAUGUUAUUGAUGAUUGGAAAGUGUUGGGAGCAUGUUUUACCUGCUCCACAUUAUCAUAUUCCGAGCAAUGACACGGAGCAUUAUAAAAUCAGGUCGAACAUAGUGUAAAUCAAAAUGUGUCUGCGGGACAGAUAACCUAGAAUAGACCAACUCUGACUCUGUCUGCAAUGGAUCAAGAGCAAAAUUAAUGAUUAGAAGUAAGUUGUAUGGGAGGUUAUCUCUAAGGAAAAAGUAAUAUUAUGUCUAAAAUUACCUUCAAAAACAUAAGAGCAAGGGCAAUGGUGGCUCCAGGUGCAGUAACAUCAACAUUGACUGCAGUACCGUCCAUUAUCUGCAAGAGAAAUGGUACAGUUUCGGAUGAUUGGUACCUAUCUCUAAGUCAGAUAAGAAUAGCAGUAAUAUAAUAUCUGUAGCGACAAGACGACCUGACCUGCCCUGCACUCCGAUUGAGUUCAUCAAUAGAUGGAACAAAAAGAUGGGACCUCUCCUGAAUUUAUUCAAAGAAAAUGAGAACAUCACUUUAGUCAAAAACCAUAAGUUUGGAAUCAUAUUGCAUAAAACAGGAGACAAAUUCUGCAAGCAUAUACGUUUUGAGGCUCCUUGCCGCCAAUGUACAGGAAUAACCGAUCAACCAAAGAGUCCACAAAGCCAGGAGCAUCUUCUCCACGACCUUUAGUUUUUUAAAAAAAAAAAACUUAGAAACAGAUAUUAGCCAUAAUAAUGCAUGUGCACUUUCAAUCAUACCCAAGGCAACCAAUCCUAGUGAAAACCCAGCUGCAACUGCAUAUCCCUCCCUUUCAAGUACAUUAUCUCCUCCACUUCUACGGCCUAUUUCACCCUGCAAACUGGUUAUCAGUAAUUGAAUUCAUGAAAAGCAUGCAUAAAACUUGGAUCAACACUAACUUACAAUUUUGGUCAAAGUUCAAACACUAAAUCAUCGCUUCUUGCAUGCAAGCAAGAUCAGUAUGGAGUAUGUACUAGUGCUAGCAAAUGGACGGGUCAGAUCAGUUAUGGACAGGUUGAGAACGAGUUAGACAAAAAAAUGUAUAAAGCAUCCGACACACCCAUAUUCAGUAGGAGUCAAAUUUGGGGUGAAUGGGCGGAUAAUAUGGGUACUUCUAUCGAUGGUUUUACAAGAUCAAAAUUCUGAGUGCCUCUCUUUCAAAAACAAAUGAUGAAUAUAAAAAUAUUUGAGCGUUAUAACAUGGAUAAUUUUUCCAGAAGCAAUAAACUAGGAUUUACAACUAUUUUCUCAGUCCAAUGAAACAAAAUCAACUUAUUAAAGUUAAAUCAUGAACUUUUGGAUUGAUCUCAGAAAUUGAAAUGUUGAUAUUUUCUUUUAAAAAUAAAAACCAUAUGCUUAGAAGCUAUUAAAAGAUCUUAGAAUGCACUUCUAAAUUUUUAAAAAAUGGUUUUCUUCAGUCAGACCUAUCUGUUUCUCUGUCAUUCCUUCUGGUUCUUCAUGUAACCAUUUCUCAGCUCCCUUACACUUUAGAAAAGUAAAAAAAGACUAAAGAGGAAAGAACACAUGGAGGCAGCAUCUACAAGGGUGUAUAGUGGGUUCUAUGGAUAAUAAAAUGCAGCUCACUCUCGCGGCUUGCGGUAUCUCUCAGAGUCUUCUUCACAUCUUUAGUCCUCGUGAUCCGUAUUUGAUCAGCCAGUACUCAAUUUUAUAAAGCGGGUAAUAUGAUUGAUCCAUAUUUGAUCCGCUCUUUAAAAUAUCAGUUAACCAACCCGUUUUAACUGGUCAGAUCGGAUGGAGACUCUAAUAUCUUAUCCAUUUUGCUAGCACUAGUAUGGACUAUCUAUAAUCACUUAGGGAUAAUUUGGUAGGAUAUAUUAGAGAAAAUAAGACAUGCAUUACUCAUGGUAUUAUUUAACCCUUAGUUUGGUAGAACGUUUAGCCUAUUAGUUAUACACCCUAUUCACUAUUAUAGGGUGUAUAACUAAGCAAAUCAUGGUAUCAACUAUACAAGGAUUACCAAUAUAUGGAUAAGCAUGGUUAAAUUCAAAACUGCCCUUAAUACACCAAACUAAACAGUGGAUAAGAAAGUCUCAGUAUAACUUAUCUCAUUAUUACUAAUACAUCCUACUCAAUAGUAUUCUUAUUCACUCUACCAAAUGACCCCUUAAUCAUUUCACUUCAAUGCCAGCACAAUUAAGUAAAUACAAACAAAUCUGCUAUUUCCCUGCACCAACUCCCAGAGGAACAAAUUUAUUUUAGAUGAAUUGUCCCACUACUCCAGUUAGCUUUCAAUAGCCACCGCUCCUAACUAUGAAUAAGAGAAUGACAAAAGUUAAAUAUAUUCGAGCAAGGGGAACACUUCUACACAUCCUGACAUAUCGAAAGCAACUACCCAAUAAUACAUAGUGACUACUCAACACUUGAUCAACAGAUGAUCCAAGAGAACUUCAGAAGAGUAUAAACCUCCAAGAUUUAGAGAGAGUACCAGAAGAAUUUGCAUUGUUUGGGGAUGUGCAGAUCCCUCAUAUAGAAGCCCAACAGAAAGGAGAGCUGCUGACUGAAAAAUAAUCCAAUAGCAAGAACAAUCAUUUUUCAAGACAAAGAUACUUCAUUAAAGAGGCAGGUUAUUUACCAAAAGAAACAGUAAAGCAAACAUCACUCUAACCCAAGUACAUGGAGGAGGGAAACAGAGACCUUCAAUUCUUCUAAAGGACAAAUAGUUGGAAAGAAAUAUAAGAAUAGAAACAUAUCAGCGUAAAUACCAUGGAAGAUUUAAACAUAUCUUCAGCCCCUGAUUUGCUAGCAAAGCAUGUUGCUAUUGCAAGAAGAUUUGAGGGGUCAAAGAGGAGAGUAUUCUUGACGAAAAUGAAACAAUUAAGCGGUAAGGAUCAGUGCAGCACUUCGUCAAACAAGUCUAGUAUUGAUUAGAUUGAUUAUAGGAAAUCUUUAUUCUAAUUAAUUUGUUGUAAUUACUGUAAUUGAUUUCUUUUAGUAGAUUAGUUAUAGGACAUUUUGUAUAAAUACCCUUGCUCAUGGGAUGUAAACAAAUAUUGAAAUAGAAAUAAAUCUUUUCUUUCUCAAAUUCUACACCUAUACUGAAUUCUUAAUAGAACAGAAGAAAAUAACCAAUAUGAACUGAUAAACCCACAGAGAAUACCAAUUUUCUACGAGAAUUUAACCAUUUACUGAUUGACAAUGUAUACUGCAAUUACCUGCAACAGGGUUGGCAAUUCCAAUUCCGGGAAGGAAGACGGAUGACGGGAUGGUAUAUGAACAUAGAGGGACUGCACGGAGAUCACAAUAAAUUCUUGAUUCAUUAGAAGGAACAGGAGAAAAGCACAUCUAAUGACAAAUCAAUAAGCUACAACUAGAACAGAUUACUAAGUCAAUAAUGCAGAUAAUGCACCCAACAAGAAAGGGACGUUUGAAUACUAGAGCAGAUUGUUAAGUAGAUAAUAUCAUUCAGUAACUGACAAGGGCAGAUUUGGAGUGCUCAAACUGAAAAAUGUGUUGAGAUACAAGAAUCAAAGCUACACUAAGUCACUAACUCAGUUUAGCAACUACAAUUCUGCAAUUUUAUAUCUGCAGAUAUUAUGAGGUACUGUACUCGUCAAAUUAUUAAGAGUCAUCCUCCUAUGCUUCCAAAAGUAAAACAAUCAGGCAGCAGACAGUUAUAUGCUGUGAAGAACAAGAAAUGAAGUGUAAGGAAGCUUGUCCAGAAUAUCUCAGAAAUAAUAAGAGAAAUAAUACGGCCAGGGUCAGAGCAAGCUGAAAGUUAAUAGGGGCUUUAAGAUCUGCUGAUAAAAUCAAGAACUUCAUGCAGUACUUCUGUUAACUUCAUUAGCAUAGGUACUUCCACGAGACUUUUAUCAGCUACAACCGUCUAUUUAUCCCCUCCCACCACAAACCAAACAAAAAAAGAUUUAAAAAACAGCAAUCAGACAUGCAUACCUAUGCUGACAAUUCCCAAAUAGUACUAUGGUGCAGUUUACAAGAACACUACAUUUAACUAUAUAAUAAGUGGGAGUCUUUUGGACGACCAAGGGUAAUAUCGUCUUUUUGGUCCAUUCAUCAAGCCCACGAUCACCACUGCUUCCACUUCAUUUUUCGUUGCAUCUUUGUUCAUUUACUCUGGAGUUCUAUGCUUCUUCAUUUCCUAUUAUUUAUCCGCCUCUCUGUACACUAGGUUUGUUUUUGCUUACUUCUGUAUUUCCCUACAUUGUUGCAUGGAGGAAAUUUCUUUACCUUAUAUUGAAUUAGGGGUGGGAGUUCGUUUCUUAAGUUUGAUUCUUUAGAACAUUGGUUCAGUUCUUCACUUGUGCAUACCAAACCCAAAUUAGUUUCUAUUUGGGGUAAAGUGAUUAAAUGAUAUUAGAAAAGCAUCAAGAAGAUGCAAAGUUACAAGGGAACAAAAGAAGCUGCUCCAAAUAGAAUUACAUGAAGCAUGCUUGGCAAAAGACCUGUAAAAGCAGCCAAAAGAAAUCCCUACAUCUCGAUUGUACUAGAGAUAGGGAACUAGCAAAAUCCAAAAAGUUAUCCACUGUUUACGGGGGCAAGAAAGUGCCAACUACAUAAACUAACUAAGCAUCUAGCCUUGAGAGUACAAAUAGAGGUUGAGAUUCCAUCACACAUCUGUUGUUUUUCUCCUUCCAGAAGCUCAGAAAAGUAACUAUUGGGAUCAUUCUCCAGAUCCUUUUAAUGGAUUUGUCAACUCUCCACAAUAUCCAUCUAGUAAAAGCAUCAUUGAUGUUAAAGGGAAUUACCUAUUGAAGGCCAAGCAUAGAGUAGAAAAAUGCCACAGGUUAGCUGCUGCAGGGCAAUGCAGAAAGAGGUAAUUUACACUUUGAGUAGUCUGCCUGCACAUGACACAUCUGUUGAUGAGGAUUACACCCUUUUCUUGAAAUUGUCUUGUGUUAGGCGUGCUUCUUUCAGGGCAGUCCAAGGGAUGGAAAAGACUUUGAGAGGUUGCCUUGUACUCCAGACAUGUUUCCAAGGCCAUACCUCCAGGAUACCAUUUUGAGAACUCCAGUAGUUGUAGCAUUCUUUCACAGUAUAGAUCCUUUCUUUGGAAUUGCCCCAAGGACUCUGUCUAGAGUCACAUCCAUCAAGGUACUUUGUCCCAAUGUUUUUUUCUUUUUUGAGAAGGCUUUGUCCCAAUGUUUCUAAGAGAGAAAGGAAGUUGUUAACUUCCCAAUCCUGUAAAUUCCUUCUGAAAGUUGGAGCCCAGCAGUUGUUGUCUCUAUAUUGAGCUAUUGUUGCUUCUUUGAUAGAGGCUAUCUAGGACAAUGAAGGGAAUGAGUCUUUUACAGAAGAUUCCCCAAGCCAUUUGUCGUGCCAAAAUCUAAUCUUGAGCCCAUUACCAGCCUUGAAGGAGACUUUCUGGAAGAAGUCAUCUUGGAAACUGCUGAUGUGUUUCCAAACCCAAACACCAUGAGGCUCACUACUUUUCUUUGGACACCUAUGAUCUUGAAUGUCAUAUUUAGCCUUGAUAAUGUCCCUUCAAUACCCUGCCUUGAUUUGUCCAUAUCUCCAUACCCACUUCAUAAUUAAAUUAUUGUUGUGAAGCUAGAGGUUCCUAAUUCACAGUCCCCCUAGGCCUUGGGUUGAAUAAUUGACUGACAUUUGACAAGAGAUAGUUGUGAGUGAGAUUGUUUCCCUCCCAUAGGAACCUCCUUUUGAGCCUAUCAAUUUGCUUUAAAAUUGAACUUGGCGCUGAAAAUAGAGACAUACAAGAUGUGGGAAUACUGUCUAAGACGCUAUUGAUGAGAGUAAGUCUGCCUCACAAAGAAAGAGAGGUAUUGCAUCUGCAGGUCCAGCAAAUGGAAUAUGCAUUUUUAAAUUACUUGCAGCUUGAAAUAACACCUCCAAGAGAUGAAAUUUUUCUAAGGCUAUUGCUAAAUCUUUUUCCAUUGCUCAGUAAUUCCUUCUAAUAAAUAUUUUAGACAUUGAUACUUAAAAAUAUAUCACAGUAAGUAUCAUCAUGCAGCUCAAUAACAUAAUGAAGUAGUUUUUUCACAACAAAAGUUUGCUCGUUAACUACUCUUCUUGUACAUAUUCUGUGUAAAACAAGAUAGCUAGUAACUAAAAAGUUGAAUACACAAAAAGUAAAAUUUAAAUCUAGAUAAACAGUGUAUUCGAAGUCACUGGCAAAAGCGUCAAAAUUGAUCAGGUCCACUCCUUUUUUUAAUUGUUUGUUGAAACUUGGGAAGGAGGCGAAUUUCAUUCAACACUAAAUUUAUGUAGUGGAAGGGAAAUGGCGACUUCGUACUAAUGUUACUGCCACAGUUCUGUCUGCUCUAAGUUUAUAAUUAAUCUCAUUGUAUGAGUGAUGGUCACUGUUAUAUUUUAGCUUCACAUUUCAUGUACAAAAUUUACAUCACUUAGAUUGUAGCUAUAAUUUUUUUGGGUUGAAUGUAGUUAUGUUAACUUGGAAAGAAGUUGAUGGAUACGUACUGGUUUCGCAGGCAUGCAAAGAAAUGACUACAGGAAGGCAGCCUCAUAGCUUCAGGAGAGAAUACCAGCCAAAUGAAUUUAGUUUGAGGUAUUAUGUUAUCCUACUUUUGAGCUCAAAAUUUAGUGUUCUACAAUGGAAGUAAUGUGUUACCUUUCAAGUGCCUUCCAUUUUGUCUUGAAACUUAUAGGGAUAAGUAAACUAAAAAGACAAAAUAUAAGCUUUUAGGAUUAGGAGUGUAUACAUUUGAAACUGUAAGACUUGCAAAAUUAUAGUAAAAAAAAUUGCAGUGGCUGGUUUGCUUCACAUGAUAAAUGAUGAAACAAACGAGAUCCUUUUACUACUUGAUAGGAGUGAAAAGAGACAGUGAUUCAUUGGCUGACCCAAUAAGCAGUUCAUUACUUUCUUUUAUGUGCACUCUCAUUUACUUUAUUUAUAAUUUAAAAUGCUGCUUAUGAAAAUUUGCACAAUGCAUUCAACCUUUAACAUUUAAGCAUUACACAUAUGAUAAAGGAUUAGUGAUUAAGGACCAUUUUUUGAUAAAUCAAAUAGUAAGAGGCAUGUUUUAUAAUAUCACGAUAUGGCAUUACAAGUAAUACAGUUAUUGAUACUAGAUUCCAGUUGUAAUAUAAAUAGAAGAGGUAUAAAAUGAUAUUAGAUGGUCAAAUUAGAAAUUGACUAAAAAGGGUAUGGAAUUAUCAAUCAAGUAGUAUACUGUGUCUUCUUCAUUUCAGGGAAAUGGAUUAAAUUGAACAAUAAAAUAGAUAGGACUAUUUUGAAAGAUACUGUGAGCUGAUUGUGCCUUUUUGUCUUGCACAUCUAAUUAAGCCUUUCUUCAGCUAAAGCAACAAGCAGAGGAUUGGAGAAAAUUGCAGUAUUUUCUUGUGCAAGUUAAUCUUCACGACAAUAGAUUCUGGUGUUUUACUCCUAAUUAAGCACACCUCAAAGUGAAAUAUGCUAAUCUGGGUUAAAAUUAAAAUAAGUACAUCAAACACCCGUGCAUAGCACUGGCACUCCCAUCUAGUAAUCAAAACAUGCAUAGGUCGCGAAGCGACUAGCUCCUAAUUAGAUGAACAGAGACCAGAAAGAGAAUAAGUACUCUUCGUUACAGCAGUUGAUAUGCACAGAAGGGGGAGAAAAGAAAGACAAGAAUGGAAUAGGCAAUGGAGAAAAUGAGAAGAUAUUCCUUACCUUUGAGAUUGCUGGCUGCAUAGUUCCCCUGUAUGAUGCUGCAAGGCCAAGCAUCAAUCCAACAGUUGUACUUUCAUGUUCCUACAAGGUAUGAUAUCACCGAAUGCACAAAAUAAGCAUGUCUCAUAGAUUAUAGUUUGUUAAAGUGCACUAUUUUACUAUAUAUGCUAACCCAAACUCUCAAACUUAUAGUUGUAAUACACUCGAUAAGGAUUUUGAAACCUGAGUAUAGUCGCUCAAACAAACAUGACACAGGGUUGAUGCCACAUCUUUCAUUUUACCAAGUGGACAACUUCAACUAUGUAUGCUGUAAUUAUCCUUCCGACCUUCACGAUCAUCCAAAUAAAUUCUACUUUGCAUAAUUGCAUAGCAUUUAAGCUUCAAUGCAAGUCGACAGUAUCUAACAAUUACUUUAGUAACUUUAGAAGCAUUAAUCUUUUACCCUUUUCUCCAUAGGGCGGGGAAAAUCAUAUUUUACUUGACAUAUGCAGUAUAAAUAGAAGAACGAUAAAUAAAUGUGUUGAAUCAGAAAAAGAAAAGGUUAUUGUAAUGUUAGUAAGGAGGGGAAAGCACUGCAUAAAACCAGAUCGGUCCGGAAAGAAAUAAACAACCUGAGAAUAAUAUUGAUAUAUAUCAGUUAUAGUUAAGACGCGAAGAUGUCCAUGUAAUCCUAAAGCAAGUAGUAGUCCAGCAUGAACUACACUGGGCUCUUCAGGUUUGUUAUAUAAUAUCCAUGUUCUUGACAUCUUUCCCUGCGUAAGCACAAGACAAUGCAUCAAAACGUGAGGAAGUAGCAUCAAGUAAGAAAAUGAAACUUAGAGAAGUAUCUAAAAAAACACUGGAUAAUAACAGUGGGAUAAAGCCACAUGCAAAUAGAUAAAACCGAACCUGAGGUGGAGCAAGCCUUAAUCCAGCAGCAACUGCAUUGUGAAACUCGGGCCAAGAUUUGAGUUCUUGAACAUUCCUAACAUUUGGAUCUAAGUUAACCUAAACAAGAACAAGAGGCAUGACUUACACAAAUAAACUUCACAAACACACAAUUGUUGCAAGGCAAUCAUAGGCCUGGGGAGACAGAAGUCCUACAAAAGAAAGGUAGACAACUAGUUCCCAGGUGUUCUCUUUGCAACAUAACAGGGGAAACCAAUAAGCAUCUAUUUUUACAUUGCAAGUUCACCACUCAGCUAUGGAACCUUUACCUCAACAUUACAAGCACUAGCUGGACAAUGCCAGAGCACACAUCGGAUCUUUUGAGUUGCUGGAUUAGGAGGGGAGUUAGUAAAAGUCAAAAGAGAUGGUGGAGAUUAAUACCAUCAUGUAUAUGGUGGUCAAUAUGGAAGGAAAAAAAUGAGAGAUGCUUUACAGAUAGGUCCAAUUCCAUACAUAAAGUAAAAUGGAAUUGUAUUGAAGCUCUACUUCUUUGGUGUAAACUACUUUGUAUAGAAGAUGUAGAUCAGAUUGUAGAUUUGAUAGGAAGCUUGUAAUUGCUCACUUUUGGAGGUGGCCAGCAUAACCUUAAUGCUGAUGAAUACAAUUUACCAAUUUCAAAAAAAAAAAUCAUAGGCCUUGGGAGAGGGGCAUAUGGGUGGUUAGGAUACUGCUCACAAGUGCCUAAAGAAAGCCAACAAAUAUAAUAAUGCUGAAGCCUGAAACGUGGGCAAUGCCAGAGAAAAGCGUACCACAUUAGUUUGGCAAAAAAACUACUGAACAUCAUAAAAAGGAACAACCUUCAAGGAUAAAAAGUAAACACCAAAAUCAUGUUUCCAUCUACAUUUAAUAAGUAAAACAUCAACCUGGCUCCAAUCAAUUAUCUGAAAACCAAACUGCUAAUAAAAGAAAUAUAUGCAUAGAUGGAAAUAGAUGUACACUGGAAUUUGUCCAGACAUACUGUUGCAUUUUGCUGUGCAGGCAGCCGACCUGCCAAGAUAAGCUUGGGAACCAUGAGUGCCUGCAGAUGUUAAAACAACUUCCUUAAAACACAAGGACUAACUUUUAUAUUGUCAAUUAGAAAAUAUGCUGAGCUAUUCCAUUUGUAGAAGUAAGUGAAGGAUGGUACCUCCGUUAAGAGAGUGCAGGUUGUAGCAAGUGUAAAUGCACCACGGCCAAAGGGAAGGGCCGUAGUCCUUUGAGCAAGCUGCCAUAAUUGAGCCUAAAGAAAAGAAAAAAAGAGAAUCAAUGUGACAGACAAACGCUUGCAGAUGUAUGUGAGGUGUAAAGGAUACGGUGAUGCACAUGGUCAUCAAUGUUACAGUAACAAUGUAAUAUUCAAGUAUUUUAUUUUAUCUUUCUACAUUUGUCUUUACUACAGGCAAGUCAGCUGCAGUUCAAACUUCAAAAUUUUUAUUUCCUCCUUAAGAUGCAUUUAGAGCAGCAAUAAAAAGUGAUAACUGGAAGAAAAAAAAUUAGGGUGCAGUGUUCAUGUUCUUUAAAAAUGUCACCAUCCCGAGGAGAGCAUUGCACCAAAAUGUGGCUUAGCAAUGCCUUUACUUGUUUGUCUGUUUUUUACCCAAAUUAGUUAGCUGGCUUUCCAACACCUACCAAAUCAAUGUGUGCCCUAAUAUAAAUUUUGUUCAAAGAACACAUAUAUAGUAUUAAAUCGGUAAUUUAACAAGUAAUGAACAGGGUAUGGAAAUGUAAGUUACAAGGUCAAGAGGUGAACAGUGGUUGAAAACCAACAAGAAGAUCAGAACACGAGGCACAUGUUGAGAAUUUUAAGGAAAAACAAUUAUCAUUACAUAGCAUUGGGGAAAACAGGUAGCGUUGUCUUUAGUUCUGGAAAUAACAUGUAGCACAUACCAAAUUAUUGCAACAGUAUACCUGUUGGAGGUCCUGAUCUGAUGCAGUCGGAUUAACAGGUGUUUGAAUAACAACAGGCCUAGCAGAGCAUAGAAGACGUCUAACCUAUAAAUCAAAAGCAUUGUUUAAUGAUAUUAAAGAAGAUAAACCAGCAACACAAGUGCAGCACUUGACUGUGCUAGGAACUUUGUGAUGAAUGCAUCGAUCAGGUAUGCUCAAGAAACAAAGUUAAUGGUCUAUUAAAUCAUUGACUGGACUGGAUCAUCAUGUACAUACUAUGGUUUUCACAACAGAACUGACAAGCUAGUGAUUAAUGAGGAGAUCAGUGUAGAUAAGGAAGAAAUCAAAGCAGAAAUUCUAAAGUUUUAUCAAGUAUGGUAUACAGAGGAUGAGCAGUGGAGGGCUAUAGCUAGCUUUGAAAAUCUUAAUAGCAUUACUCAAGCAGAGAAAAGCUGUCUGGAGAGAACUUUUGAAGAAGAGGUAAGCGCAGCCAUCAACUCUUGUGCACCAGACAAGAGUUCAGGAUAUGAUGGUUACACAAUGACCUUUUACUAAACUGCAUGGAAUUACAUCAAGGAUGACAUUGGAGCUCUCAACCAUUUCCACCAGCAAUGCCACAUGGUCAAGUCCAGCAAUGCUUCUUUGAUAGCCCUUAUUCCAGGGGACAAAUCCUAUUUGAAAUGGAUGGUGUGAGUUUGUCAAAUGCUCGACAAGCCGCUACAUUAGUUUGAUAAGGGGAAUAGAAUACCCCUCACUUAAGUGGACUCUUUAAUGAAAUAAAAAAUAGAUUUCUGAAUUUCUGCAUUUUCGUCGCGGACUUGGUCCGCGACGCGGAGCUGUUCCCUGAAGAUAUUUGGAAUAAAAUUUCGAGACAGUACAGUCUGCGACACGACCGCGUCGCGAACAAAGUUUUUUUUCCUUGGGGGAGCAAGUCCGCGACGCGCCCUUGUUCCUUGCAAGAGCAAUUUGCAAGCUGCCUUGGCAGCUUGCUUGGCCAAGGUUGGGGUCCCCCUUGGGUCCCCUUAUGGUGGUCCCGAGGGGUCUUCACCAAGUUUGUUCAGUGGUCGUAAGCUUAUUAAUCUGAACCAAAUUGGUACACGCCAAUUCAAGAAGGGAAUCUUGCAUCUCAGAGACUUCAGGCCUAUAAGCCUCACAGGGAGUGUACAAAAUUUUGGUCAAAGUCUGGUUGAGAGGCUUAAAACAGUGGUCUAAAAGCUGGUGUGAGGGGAACAAAAUGUCAUUGACCUUUCAUUGAUUGCAAAUGAGAUGUUUGAUGGUAGAUUGAAAACAUAAAGGCCUGGAAUUUUGUGUAAACUGGAUGUCAAGAAAUCUUUUGACAAAUUUAGCAGGUCCUAUUUAUUAGAAAUGCUAAAGCAAAUGGAAUUUGGAGACCGGUGGAUUAAAUGGAUCAAAUACAAUCUCUCAACAAUAAAGUACUCCAUUCUAGUGAAUAGGGGACCCUCUUGGCUUUUUCUCUCCAUGGAAAGGAACAAGGCAAAGGGGACCCUCUUUCCCCUUUUUAUUCAUUUUAGCCAUGGAGGGUUUGAGCAAGAUGCUGGACAAAGCCAGAACUAACCACUGAAUUGAACGUUUAAAGGUGGAAAGCAAUCCAAAUCACUCAAUCUCAGUUUCUCACUUACUAUAUGCAAAUGGCACCCUAAUAUUUUGUGGGGCUGAGACACUUCAAGUCCUAUAUCUCAAUCUGACACUCAUGCUAUGUAAAGCCAUUUCAGGGCUUCAUAUAAACAAGAUGAAGAGCAAGAUAUACAAUGUUAAUGAAGUUCCAAACUUGUUUGAUCUGGCAAAGAUUUUGGGGUGCGGCACGGUUCUUUCCCUUUCACUUACUUAGGUCUCCCCUUCAUUGCAAGUUACAAAGCAACUGAGGUAUGGAGUGGAGUGAUGGAAAAGGUGGAAAAGAAGGUUAGCAAACUGGCAAAUGCAGCAUUUGUCCAUGGAUGGUAGGUUGGCUUUAAUCAACGGUGUCUUGGACAGUAUACCCACUUACAUCAUGUCCCUCAUACCAAUGCCAUGUAAGGUGAGGGAUCAGCUGGAUGGUCUAAGGAGGACACUUCUUUGGAAAGGAAACAGUGAAGGGCACAUAAUUCAUUUGUGAUAUGGGCAAAGGUCUUAUUGCCAAAGGAACAAAGAGGGUUGACUGUCAGAGAUCUUAGCAAGCACAACAAUAGCCUACUUUUAAAGUGGUGGUUUCUGGAAAUGGAGAAUCAAACCUUUGGAAAGAAGUGGGCCGUGCUAAAUAUGACAAAUUAGAUAAUUGUUGCACCAAAAGAGUAGACCCCUCCAUGGAGUUAGUCCUUGGAAGCAUAUUAACAAUCUGAAGGAUGAUUUCUAUAAAAAGGUAUCCUUUAAGGUUGGAAAUGGCUCUGCUGCCAAGUUUUGGAAGGAUAAAUGGGUGAUCAAUCAGGCCCUCAAAGAUUCCCACCCUAGGCUGUUCCUAAAAGCCACUGAGCCAGACUCCUCAAUAGCUGAAAACAAGGAAGGCAGCAUCUUGGAUAUUCAGUUCAGAAGAAACUUACAAGGUGGGAGCUGGGGGAACUCAUUGGUUUGUAAGAACUACUGGCAGACUUCUCAAUGAAUCUUCAACUUCCAGGCAACUUAAGAUGGAGAGACUCGAGCAAAGGGACUUAUACAGUGAAAGCAGGUUAUAGUCACAUUAAUGCAGCUGAUGGAAUGACUGAUCUUAGGCCUUGGAAACUGGUUUGGAAGACAACUCCCCCCCAAAAGUUAAAUGCUUCACUUGGACAUCCCUUCAUAAUGCCAUUGUAACUCAUGAUAAUUUCAAGAAAAAAGGUUUUCAGGUGGUGAGCAGAUGCUUUAUGUGUCACCACAAUAUAAAGACAGUAAACCACCUGUUGUUGCACUGUCCUGUCGCAGCUGACCUUUGGCUUAUGUUUCUAUCAGUUUUUGCAAUCAGCUGAACAACCCCUCUCCAAUUUAAACGAAGCAGUUGAAAGGUGGAGUUUGUGGAAAGUGGAUAAAUCCAUCACGAAGAUCUGACAAAUGAUCCCAGCUUGUAUUUUAUUUUUUUUUAUAUUGUUUUGAUGGGACUUCAGACUUCAACUCUUACUGCUCUCUUAAAACCAUAUGUUUGAUGAAUAUUUUUAGUUGGAGCAAUCUUUCCCCUGUAAAUGGCACUAUUCCCCUUUCAGAUUUUAUCAGCUCCCGCUCAGUGGCUUAGCAGCCUUGAGUUUUUGCUUCUCGUUUAACUCCCAGUUCAUACUAGGUUCUUGCAGUACCUGAAGUUCUCACCAUUUGAUUAUGGAAUCUGUUUGCAUCUUCUUGAUGCCUUUUAAUACAAAACUUACUUCAUCAAAAAAAAAAAGGACAAUACACAGAGGGUCAAGCUCGUCUACAUAAAACUGACAUGACCGCCAGGUUUCCAUAAUGAAAUGUAUGUGGAUCGACUCUUGACAAGCGUAAUCGGAUAGCCUCCCAGUUCAGGGAAGUAUGACUCUAACAUCAGGUCAAACUAAUGGAUAGCACUCCUAAAAGUGAGGCAGGCUUAUAUUUACUGCAAAGCAGUGCCUGCAAACAUCUAUUUUCAGUCAUGCACAAUAUCAAAAACUGACCUCAUUCAAUCGCAGAUCGCGACCAUAACGCAACUGGAUGCCAGAGUUAAAAAUAUGCUCCAUACCAUCAGCCACAUAUCCCUCAACAGAAUCUACAUCCUCUAGCUUGUUAUCCUCUGACUGUAUUGUGUCAGAUAUUGAGGAAGGAAUUGUCACCGGAUGCAGGUUCAACAUGUAAGGAGCGGACAUACAUGUCAUAUUUACAUUCAUAUGGGGCUCAAGCUCCACAGAUUUUCUUGAAUAUGCUAAGUGUGAGAAAGCCAAAUCCUCCCGACCAAGAAGAACAUAUGCAGCAGCAGGCCAAUCUAUUGGAGGAGAAUCACGGCAUUUAUCCAAUGCCUGCAUAAGACAAAAUCACCCCUUCUAUAAUUAAAAACCAAGUCAAAUAAAAAAAAAGAUCUUGAAUGCAUGGAAACAUCUGAGUAUAACUAUGUGAUGUGAACUGCUGCAAUUAAAAGCAGAAGACUCUACAUCCAUUAAGGGUACAAAGAUAUCAUUAUGUAACACCCUUCCAGCCAUAUUUGUGUGUUAAGGUGAAUAGAUCAGAAUAUCCAAAUUUUGCACUUCUUUAUUUUGGAUAGGAAAUUGGAUGUAAAUUCUUUUAGCUCUUCACUUACAUCUCGCAGAGGAAGAGAGACUCCAGCAGGUAACAAGUCUAACUGUUGUAGGCCUACUCUUUCUCCAACCAUUGACAAGACAGUUAGUUCCUCCGGAGUAUUAAACGAUCCAGACGCAAUAGCACAAGAAACACCAGAAGAUAGCCUCUUCCCCGAUAGCUCAGCACCACAUAACAGGCUAUAGAAUGAUACAAUUUUCCGUCCCCAGUUGACAACAGAACUUCCAUCUCUGAAGAUCAAAGAUGGGAGAUGACUAAUACUAGCAGAACUGCACCCAUGCUUCAGGCAGGACUCAAGCCACCUGAAUAAACUAGGAGGAAUUCUCUUGGAGGUUGAGGUCAGAGAUACUUCAUGGCCUUUUGAGAGGCAAGGAAAGUCACGUAUGUAAUGAUCCAAGUAGCAAUCUUCGCGCAGGAAAGCUGCAAUAUCACAUAAUAGAACCACCAGAAGACCCAAAUCUCUGCAUUAAGUUAAGUAUAUUAAGUGGAUGAUAUGAGAUAAUGGAACCACAGUACGCAAAAGAAUUUUACUAACACAUCAAGAAAACUUUAAUCGGUCACAUCAGGAAAACUGCAGAGGUAAAUGUGUUAAUUCAGUAAAAAAUUGCUCAGCACAAAUAGUAGCAAGCACAGGGUUGAGUUAUUCACUUUUCAAGUAGAGCUAGUUCGGAGUAGUUCCUCAACAGAAACUGCUUUACUUCUUAACUUCUAAUAAGCAUUGAGCUCUACUACAAAGGUACCUUUCGUUUUCUUAUUAGUUGCUUGGCUUAUAGGUAUGUGUAGGUGCCUUGGUGGAUUGUCGAUAAGCAAGACUAUGUUAAACUGUUAACACUGAGUCCUAAACACAAUGCCGAUUCAUUGGCAAGAUAUGUUUUACCCACUAGAAACUCAAUGAUCCAGAGCAGAGGCAUUCAACCUCCCUACCCUGGCAAAGGGAGAUGGCUUAUAAAGUCAAUCAUAUGACAUUGAUAAAAGUUUUCAGUUGGAAACAACCUGAGUUCUGAUUCAAAUUUACCCCAACAACUAUCAACCAUAGAGUUGCAAAACCGAAAAGACCAAAAGAUAUAAACUCAUGCAUAACUUGCUCCUUUGUUUUUCUUUUUCUUUUUUUCUCAGGGACUCAUGGAGGGUUCUACUACUCAGCCAAAUACAUCAUAUUACGGCAAACAGCUCAUCUAUAGAGAGGUUCUUGCAAUUUUACGUUUUACGGAUACCUGGUUAUUGGAUAACAAACAAAUCAUUGGAAGUAAAUGAAAAAACAAAGGACUCCACAGAAAUGCCAAAGUGACGGCCAAACAACCUAUGUUAUGUGACACCAUCUUCUCUUUUUUUUCUUUUUUCCUAAUUAUUUGCAAGAGCAAUGCAGAUCACUUUCUAUGGCAUCUGGUCAAUCCGUAUCUCCAGACUAUGAUGAAAUUGUGAGGAAAAAAAAA